CACAGUUAGACAGACAUCUUGGGUUUGCUUGGUGUCAAACUGUGGCCCCAGACAAGUCACAAUGACUUCUGUUGUCUUCCUUCAGACUCACUGGUCUGCGGCAAAGUUUGAGAACCCUGCCACUGGCCCUUUCACAGGGUGUGAGAUCAGGCAUUGAGUCACUCAAGGAGACAUUUACACGUAGGUGGCACGACACUCUCUUGACAAAUGUUUUCAGAAAAGCGCAAAACCCAUGCUUUAAUGAUAGCUGUAUUGAUGCCAUGCCAUUAUCUCGAUCUUCUCUCAAACAGGUUGCUCAGUUCCAGCUUCCUUCAUGUGCAAGCGGACCCCAGUCAAUGAGGACCUCAUCUGUGCUGCAGUCGAUAGGUAGGUGACUGACUGUUUUGUGCGGUGCUGAGUUUUGGGCAGGUAAAGUUCUUUUACGCGAUCCAGCUACGGCCUGAACGUCUUUCUUUUCGCCGCUUUUCUCAGAUCACAACUCAAUCAGAACCUGUCUCCUGGCAAUUCCUCCAAAUCUCUGUGCAGUUUCACCAUCACUGACCACGCCUGUUCCUCGG
rnacentral:lncRNA from 1 species